CCUGUGAUAACCCCUUUGGUGACAUCGCGCUGUGUGAAAAUGAGCUGACUAUGUGUCUAGUACCAAGUCAGUUGCUUAGCUCCAUGUCUGACCUAUGUCUAUACCCCCUACUUUCACCACAUGUGUGCCUGACAGGAAAAAGUUGCUUGAUAAAAAUUACUGAGCAACUGAAUUAAUGGUGAAAAGGCCCAGCCAUACCCUGAGAAGCUAUAACAUCAUUAGUGAGAAGACACUGGGGGUAGAAUGCUAUUGAAAAGGAGAGGGAGAGAAUCAGGAAGAACUCCAGAGGACACAAGGAAAAGCUGCUCUGAACCAACAGAAGGACCUCCUGGCCUCUCAGGCCCUCCCUCAAGAUCCCCUUCCCACUCACUGCUCCUGAUCCUUACAAAGUGAUCUGAACAGGGACAGGCACACACUGCUUCAAUUCUGCCACCAAAUCUUUCUCCAUUUCUAGAAAUAAAUUACUUGUUCCUUUCUGUUAACAGCUUUCUUCCAUUUUUGGACCACGAUUGAAAAUCUUGACUGUUUGAGACAAUGAUUCCCCGCUGGGAAGCAUGAAGGCAAUCAAUUACCUGAGAUUGAGGACAUCUCCCUAUGGGGAAGUUUUGAGAGGGUCUCCACUGGAACCAUAGGUCAAACACAUUUUUUUAAGUUAGUCUCUCAGUUUGGGGUUUCCAUACUGAUGGAGAAUAUGAAUGAGUGCUCCACCUUCCUACAGGGGCCGCUCAUGGAAAGUCCAGCUUCUCUGAGAAUGUUCAGCUUUUUUAUGAUUUGAAAACAAGCCCAGACCCCUGAUGAAAAUGAGGCCCAGGCAGACCCUUACUACAUGCUGACUUCAAAAGAAUGGCAGGUGGCAGCUGGACACAAGGCUGAGCAUCUGAGGACCAAACUUGGCAACCAAGAGGCGAACCCCAUGGCAUUCCAGGUGCUCACAAUCAGGGAGCCCUCUGCAGAGGCUGGAGGGAGGUGCAGGAAGCCCCUAGACCCACGCUGUCCAGUCUGGUAACCAAUCUGCCUAUGGACAUUACAUUCAAAUUCAU